UUCCGAUGAGUUAAGUACCACAUGUCUUGGCCACUGAUGAUCACUUAUGGGAUUUAAGGAACUGAGAAG